rnacentral:rRNA from 1 species
UGGGGAAUAUUGCACAAUGGGGGAAACCCUGAUGCAGCGACGCCGCGUGAGCGAAGAAGGUUUUCGAAUCGUAAAGCUCUGUCCUAUGAGAAGAUAAUGACGGUAUCAUAGGAGGAAGCCCCGGCUAAAUACGUGCCAGCAGCCGCGGUAAUACGUAUGGGGCGAGCGUUGUCCGGAAUUAUUGGGCGUAAAGGGUACGUAGGCGGUCUAUUAAGUCAGGUGUGAAAGCGUGAGGCUUAACCUCAUUAAGCACUUGAAACUGAUAGACUUGAGUGAAGGGGAGGAAAGUGGAAGUCCUGGUGUAGCGGUGGAAUGCGUAGAUAUCAGGAGGAAUACCGGUGGCGAAGGCGACUUACUGGACUUAAACUGACGCUCAGGCACGAAAGCGUGGGGAGCAAACAGG